rnacentral:rRNA from 1 species
AUACGGAGGAUGCGAGCGUUAUCCGGAUUUAUUGGGUUUAAAGGGUGCGUAGGCGGAAAGUUAAGUCAGCGGUGAAACGCAGGUGCUCAUCACCUGACCUGCCGUUGAGACUGGUUUUCUAGGAUGCGGAUGCUGUGGGAGGAAUGUGUGGUGUAGCGGUGAAAUGCAUAGAUAUCACACAGAACACCGAUUGCGAAGGCAUCUCACAAAUCCGCGAUUGACGCUGAGGCACGAAGGUGCGGGGAUCGAACAGGAUUAGAUACCCUGGUAGUCCGCACAGUAAACGAUGAUAACUCGCUGUCGGCGAUAGACAGUCGGUGGCCAAGCGAAAGCGAUAAGUUAUCCACCUGGGGAGUACGACCGCAAGGUUGAAACUCAAAUGAAUUGACGGGG